CACCAUGGCAUCCAUCUAGUGAGCGUGAGUGGGCAUUUCUCCUGUCUGUGAGGGAGACAGAAGAAUGUUGGGGAGGCACAAAUGAACAAACACACCAAAGAAGAAUUCUGGCUCCAGAAACUGGGGAGAAGCUCAUGGAGAAGGCCUUGGAGGUUGAGUGAGUCAGACAGCCAGGCAGAGACAGAAGGAUGGGCAUUAGUGCAGGAGUGGGAAGCCGGCUCCUGGUUUAUCCAUCUCUGCGGAUCCCCAGUGGGUGUUCAGUACUCUGCACACCACUGACUCUUGGUACGAGAGCUGCACUCCAUUUGAUGGGGACAAACAAGACAUUUAUUGAUGCUUCUUAUCAGUGUUUUCACUCAGCGGAACACCAUUUUAUCACUUAUAUUCUCGUGAAAAAUUUCCACAGUGAUUGAUGAUGACAAAUCCAUGGACCCCAAUCAAUGGGAAGUGGCUGCUUUCAGAUGCAAAGGAUCCACUGGAGGUCUCUGAGGCCCUGGGAGGUGGUAGAGCCACACCAUGAAGGUGCCUGGGUCCCUGAAUGACUGCAUGGAGCGUAAUGCUCACUCUACAUUGGAUUGUGACACAAGCAAGAAAGAAGGUCCCAUAUGGCAAGGAACUAAGGGCAGUCUCUGGCCAAAAGCCUACAAGUAACUGAAUCCUGCUAAUAACCAUGUGAGUUUGGAAGUGGAUCCCCCCACAUUCGAGUCUCAGAUGAAUCCCCAGCCCUGGCCAACAUCUUCAUGUGCUGUGAGAGACCAUUAAGCAGAGGACCCAGCUAAACUCUGCCCAGAUGCUCAAUCCACAGAAACAGAUACUAAAUGUGUAUUGUUUUAAGCUGCUACAUUUGCAAUAGUUUGAUAUGCAGCAAUAGAUAACUGACAAUGUUGUUAAUUGCUUUCUAUUCCAAUCAACUGGAAUAACUGCCCUUGUGCAUAGAGUCAGGGACAUACUUUAGGAUCUGAGAUUGUUCAGUCUAAGGGUAAGGAUCUGGGAUCUUUAGGAUCCCAGACCUGAGAUUGUUCAGUCUAAGGGUAAGGAUACUUAAUGUAGAAAAAUAACACUACAUUAUCCGCCAAAAAUAUUAUCAAGUGACGA